rnacentral:rRNA from 1 species
AUUGAACGCUGGCGGCAGGCCUAACACAUGCAAGUCGAGCGAGCGGCGGACGGGUGAGUAAUGUCUGGGAAACUGCCUGAUGGAGGGGGAUAACUACUGGAAACGGUAGCUAAUACCGCAUACCAUCAGAUGUGCCCAGAUGGGAUUAGCUAGUAGGUGGGGUAACGGCUCACCUAGGCGACGAUCCCUAGCUGGUCUGAGAGGGUGACCAGCAAGAUGGAAACUGAGCCACGGCCAAGACUCCUACGGGAGUCAGCUGUGGGAAUAAUUGAACAAGGGGGGCAAGCCUGAUCCGGCCAGGCCGCGUGUGGGAAGAAGGCCUUGGGGUUGUAACGCACUUUCAGCGGGGAGGCGUUACCCGCAGAAGAAGCACCGGCUAACUCCGUGCCAGCAGCCGCGGUAAUAC